GACGUAGGGCGCGAGCGUUGUCCGGAUUUAUUGGGCGUAAAGAGCUCGUAGGCGGCUUGUCGCGUCGUCUGUGAAAUCCCGCGGCUUAACUGCGGGCUUGCGGUUGAUACGGGCGGGCUAGAGUUCGGUAGGGGAGACUGGAAUUCCUGGUGUAGCGGUGAAAUGCGCAGAUAUCAGGAGGAACACCGGUGGCGAAGGCGGGUCUCUGGGCCGAUACUGACGCUGAGGAGCGAAAGCGUGGGGAGCGAACAGG
rnacentral:rRNA from 1 species